GUGAACGCUGGCGGUAGGCCUAACCCAUGCAAGUCGAACGGCAGCACCGUAAGAGCUUGCUCUUACGGGUGGCGAGUGGCGGACGGGUGAGGAAUACAUCGGAAUCUACUUUUUCGUGGGGGAUAACGUAGGGAAACUUACGCUAAUACCGCAUACGACCUACGGGUGAAAGCAGGGGAUCUUCGGACCUUGCGCGAUUGAAUGAGCCGAUGUCGGAUUAGCUAGUUGGCGGGGUAAAGGCCCACCAAGGCGACGAUCCGUAGCUGGUCUGAGAGGAUGAUCAGCCACACUGGAACUGAGACACGGUCCAGACUCCUACGGGAGGCAGCAGUGGGGAAUAUUGGACAAUGGGCGCAAGCCUGAUCCAGCCAUACCGCGUGGGUGAAGAAGGCCUUCGGGUUGUAAGGCCCUUUUGUUGGGAAAGAAAAGCAGCAGGUUAAUACCCCGCUGUUCUGACGGUACCCAAAGAAUAAGCACCGGCUAACUUCGUG
rnacentral:rRNA from 1 species